UGCAGGGAGAAAAAAAUGAUCCUGUGGCUGAAUUGGAUGAUGUCCUUGUUAGUGCUCCUUCAAGGAGUCCAAUCUCAAGUCCAGUUGGUGGAGUCUGGAGGGGAUGUGAGAAGACCUGGAGAAUCCCUGCGUCUCUCCUGCCAAGCCUCUGGAUUCACCUUCAGCAGCUACUGCAUGAACUGGGCGAGACAGGCUCCAGGGAAAGGUCUGGAAUGGGUGGCCCGCAUAUGUACAGGAUCAUCUCCUUCCAUUUACUACCCAGACAAAGUCAAGGGCCGUUUCAUUAUCUCCAGAGAUGAUUCUCGCAGCCAGCUGUAUCUGCAAAUGAACAGCCUCAAAUUGGAGGAUUCUGCAGUUUAUUACUGUGCAAGAGAGACACAGUGA